rnacentral:lncRNA from 1 species
CCCACGGGAGCUGGGCUCCACCCACGACCCCAACCGCAAGGAGGACUCUGCUCGGACCCCUACGGAGACCAGACUCUGACCGCUGCCGAACUUCAGCCAGCAGAUCUGUGCUCUCAGGCCACUAUCACGGCCAUGAUCCUGCUCCACUUCCUGCGACGGAUUCCGCACAGCUCCAUCACCCCCUGACAGGCCGCAGUAACGGUCGCAACACUGCUCCACUCCC